rnacentral:rRNA from 1 species
UGCGCAGGUGGGCUUGUAAGUCAGUGGUGAAAUCUUGCCGCUUAACGGUAAAAUUGCCAUUGAUACUGCAAGUCUUGAGUAUGGUUGAGGUAGGUGGAAUGUGUUGUGUAGCGGUGAAAUGCAUAGAUAUGACACAGAACGCCGAUUGCGAAGGCAACUUACUGAGCCAUUACUGACGCUGAGGCACGAAAGCGUGGGGAGCGAACAGGAUUAGAUACCCUGGUAGUCC